CCUACGGGGGGCUGCAGUGGGGAAUAUUGGACAAUGGGGGCAACCCUGAUCCAGCCAUGCCGCGUGUGUGAAGAAGGCCCUCGGGUUUUAAAGCACUUUCAGUGAGGAAGAACGCCUGGUGGUUAAUACCCAUCAGGAAAGACAUCACUCACAGAAGAAGCACCGGCUAACUCCGUGCCAGCAGCCGCGGUAAUACGGAGGGUGCGAGCGUUAAUCGGAAUUACUGGGCGUAAAGCGCGCGUAGGUGGCUUGAUAAGCCGGUUGUGAAAGCCCCGGGCUCAACCUGGGAACGGCAUCCGGAACUGUCAAGCUAGAGUGCAGGAGAGGAAGGUAGAAUUCCCGGUGUAGCGGUGAAAUGCGUAGAGAUCGGGAGGAAUACCAGUGGCGAAGGCGGCCUUCUGGACUGACACUGACACUGAGGUGCGAAAGCGUGGGUAGCAAACAGGAUUAGAUACCCCGGUAGUC
rnacentral:rRNA from 1 species